rnacentral:rRNA from 1 species
CCAAUAGCGUAUAUUAAAGUUGUUGCAGUUAAAAAGCUCGUAGUUGAACUUCAGGCCUGUCCAGAUGGUCCGCCUUAAUUGGUGUGUACUGUCCUUGGGUGGGUCCUACCUUCUGGCGAAGCGGCAUGGCCUUAAUUGGUUGUGUCGGGGAACCAGGACUUUUACUGUGAAAAAAUUAGAGUGUUCAAAGCAGGCAUAUAUGCUCGAAUACAUUAGCAUGGAAUAAUGGAAUAGGACGAUGGUUCUAUUUUGUUGGUUCGAGGACCGUUGUAAUGAUUAAU